UAAACUCCAUCAUUUCCAAGUCUGAUGCUAAAGUUUAAUUCCCAUUCAUUUCCUUUUCAAAACUCAGCAACCUUUCAUUUUUAUUUUUAAAAAUAGAAGCUUUAACCCCUUCCCCUAGUGUUUGAUUCAACAUGCAGCUGCCUAAACCAUCAUUUAUUUGAUGUCCGACUGUGCACCAAUGGCGAUCGAACCUUGUCAACGGAGGACACGCCCACGGAGAUCGAGUGAUGGGACGAUGGGAUGGGGUUAGGUGGUGGCAGCAGGUACAAAGGCUGAACAUAGGGCUAGGUUUUUUUCUUUUUCUGAUUUUGUUUGGGCUAGGGUUAGUUUGGUUUAGGUUGAAUUUGGGCUUUCUACAUAGAUCACUUUUAAUUUGGGCUAACCUAUCAUGAUAGUAAAUAAUAACAUGUAAUUACCCUUAUUAUAUAUGUGAUGUCCAUAUUUUCCAACA